UACGGAGGAUGCGAGCGUUAUCCGGAUUUAUUGGGUUUAAAGGGUGCGUAGGCGGACUGUCAAGUCAGCGGUAAAAUUGAGAGGCUCAACCUCUUCCCGCCGUUGAAACUGGUGGUCUUGAGUGGAUGAGAAGUACGCGGAAUGCGUGGUGUAGCGGUGAAAUGCAUAGAUAUCACGCAGAACUCCGAUUGCGAAGGCAGCGUACCGGCAUUCAACUGACGCUGAGGCACGAAAGCGUGGGGAUCAAACAGG
rnacentral:rRNA from 1 species